AUAAGUCGCCCAUUUGAAUGGCGGUGGUUUCUGGAGAAAAGUAAUCGGAACGAACACAAGUGGGUACCUACAAUGCUGACGUCUCUUUAAUGCCGAUGGACACUCAUUUGUGAACCGUAUGCAAGUCUGGAGAUCUUGGUUUGGGCUGGAGAGAGACGCAGAGAGGAGGGUUGUGCAGGGGUGAUGGUGAGAGAGGAUCUGCACUGAGGCUGCCUGGAGUCCUGCUCGUUUGGGGAGGCGGGGAGGAAGCAGUCUGCAAGGUGCCCCUGGGGCUCCCCAGGCGAGUCGCUCUCCAGAAGAGCUCAGGGGAGGCCUGGGCAGGAGCCCACCCUACCCGCCCCUGCUGUGUGGCUUCUUGACUUAAUUACCCGACUUCAGAACAGGCACUGGGUAUCCAGUCUGUUCUCCACCCUCACGUUCAACAAGGCCACCCCUGACAUUUUUGAAGGUGAAGUAGCAGCGGCCUCUUUCUGGUGGCCUACUUAACUCUGAAGCUGCUGGAAUAAACUCCAUCAUGGCCAUACCUGGAGCCUUGGCUCCCCUGUUCUCUGCAAAUUCUGCUUUGUCUAGUGAAAAUCCCAGGCAAUGGCACUCUCCAUUAGUGUUUGGGGAAAGGAAAGGAGCAGAUGGAGUUCAACGUCGUUUUGACUGUCGUUAACGCAUCUGGCAAAGUUUCGCUUGUUCAGGAAGAGGACCGGAUGUGUGAACUAGCCCUUGCUCUCCCUUCUCCAGCCUCGUUGCCAUUUGGAGAUGCUGUUAGUCCCCUUCAGCCUGGACUGCAUCCUGGAAAGGAGCUACUGCGAUUGACCACAGAGCAGAGGACUAUGCCUUACUUGAUGUUGCCUAGACAGCUUUAUGGUCGUCAUCUGACACCGUCCUUGAAACAGGCCGAGGAAGAGCCUGUUCUACAAACGAGGGCGCUAAGGAGCUUGAGUCCCACAGGGUCAGACCCCGGUGAGGGGUGGAUUUCAGCCCAGCUCUGCUGCACCGGGCUCAGCGUUCCCUGCAAAACUGCCCACCCGAGGCUGGGGAAUGCAAGGUUCCAGGGCCUCACGGCUGGAACCAUCCAGAAGACCGGAAAGCCCAUGACCAAAGAUGGCUCAGCCUGCCAGGGACAGGACUGGCCCGAAAGAACCAAGUUCCCCGCCUCAGCAGCUCCACAUCUCAAGUCCCAGCAGGUGGCCCUGGGCACAGAGCAGACUGACAUCGGGCGGAGCCGCUGAGCUGGGGUCUGUUCCAUGUCAGGCUUCUGGGGGCAGUGUGCACUCGGCCCCACACCCGGCUCUCCUCGUCCGAGUUCGAGUUUCUGUCUGGAACCUGUUUCGUGCUGUGGGCAGGAGGCUAGGAGAGCAGGGCCUAAGUCCCUGAGGGAAGUCACGCUGGCAAGGAAAUUGCAGGCCGUGUGGGCCACUGCACAGAAAGCUGCCGGGCAGAGGAUCUCAGUGGGCGCUUAGUUGAGGGGAACAUACCAGAAAUCCGAGAACUGGCGGCGGAACUGUGCUCUAGACGCAAAAUGGUAUUUGGAAGUGUCUUCUGGGAAUGUUAGCUCCUCUGGCUGAGCCCGGUGAGGCCCGGCCAGGAGCUGCUGAAGCGCCAGGGCGGCCGUCCCAGGGCAUGGAGUCAGAAUCCAGACGGCAUGACCUGCUAGGCCUGGCCCACAGGCCCGACAGCAGGCCCAGCCAAGACACGCCUGGUCCCCGCCGCCUUCUGGACUUGUCCCCAAAGAGGCGAGGGUUCUCUCUCCAGUCCCAGAAUGCCUCCAACUUCGAGAGAUACGGGGCCUGGGCAGAGGCCUCAGAAUGAACGGACACCCUGGCCUGCCCCGUCCGGGAGCUGCAGGCCUGUGGCGAGGUCCAUGGGCACCCCGAGGCCUCGCGGCUGGACUCAGACCCACAUGGAUCUGCGUUACUCUGAACCCUGGGGUCUCCACUGGGUCAAAUGUGGGCCUUUGAUGUUUAUAACAAAACAACCUGUGUUUUGGGUUGCCAUGUGGCUGCCAGACCAUGAGCCUUGCUGGCGAUGACUCAGAAAUUCCGCCUCAUGUUCUCAAAAGGCCAGAGUGCUGGAUUGAAACCACAUAUUAAUAACUUGGCCGUCUGCUCAAUCUCGUAAUAUUAAAUGUGAGAUUGUUCGUGUAUUCGUGUCUACACAUUGUGAAACCAAUAUUAAACAUGACCCAUACCAAAAUAGCUCAGAGUGUAUUUAUUUCAAAGGAAACAGAAUGAUUUACGUUGAAUCCUCAUUGCUGCAGUGAACUUUAAAGGUAUCUUGAGGAAGGGAUAAAAGGCCAUGCAGUUAUUACUGCAAGUUCACAGAAAUCUUUGGACUUUUAAGAUACGAGGUCCUUUUUAUUUAAACAUUUUUAGAUGUUAUAACUACAAAAGCAUUUCUGCUUUUGACUCAUGAUCUGCUUAGGUUUUUGAUUAAACCUUCAUUCAUUCUCUUUCUCUCCCUAGGAUGUUCUAUUCCCAUGUUCGACAAACAUGCUUGCUUCGCCCAUGUUCUAGAACCUUCUUUCGGUGCUGCUGAACAAGGAGCUGAAGCCAUCUUCCCAUCUCUUGUCAUCUGGGCUCUGGGGCUCCUAGAACACCCGUCUCUGUGGGGGCAUUAUGCAGCGUCCCAGUGCACCAGGUCCCGCUACUCCUGGGUGCCUCCGUCAGGCCCGCAGUUCCGCAGAAGCCUGUUUUAGCGCCAGCCUCGGUGCCCCCCGUGUCCCCCUUCCCCUCCCUCUCACCCUGCGGCCAAAGGGCACUCGCCACGGGAACGGGGAGCCCCGCCACUCCUGUUGUCUGUCAGAUAAACUCCGAAUAUCCGAUGCCCAUUCAGGCUCCUACUUAGUCCAGAUUAAUUGGUCUUUCCCAAUCUUACCUCCCUGCUCUUUAAAAACUCAGCCACGUGCUGCCUUUUUCAAAAGUUGCUCCUACCUGCUCAGCUGGUAGCCGUCUGUUCUGCCUCUGAUCUCCACAGAGCCAGACAGCACGUGUACCUGUCCCCCCAGCACCCGAGCCAUCUGUGUGGACGGGCUCGAAGGGUGGGGGCGAUGCUCUGUCAGGAUUUGGGGGCAACUCCCUGGGCAGGGGUGAAGAUGAGAGGGUUGAGAGUCAGCCCUGGAGGAUGUUGCCUUGAAUGUGUGCCUCGCACAGGUAUGAAUCCUUGGCAGGUAAGAGUUAGGGCCCCAAAGCCAGACGCCUGCCUCUUAGCAGAAACAGGACAAAAGUGAGGGCAUUCCCACAAUUGGCAAAUGGGAUUUUAGCCACAGCGGUGCAUGAUUAUCGUGAAUUUCUCAGUGAGUAGAAAUCAGAGCAAAAUACUGG
ensembl:lncRNA